AUGCAGUACCUCAUUUUAUAAACUACAAAGAAGCACGGAAACAAUGCAGUGGUAUUUUAUCAUGGAGAUUACGUCUCGUACACAUGGCUGGAGCGCAACGUUUUGUUUUUAGCCCCGGGCAAAGUGGAACGCAAAAUAUCUGCAAUCAUCCAAAACCAAGAUUACCACACUCUUUCAAGUUCUGAAAAUAGAUUGGAGUCCAGACGAAAUUAGAGGAACGUCGUGAAACAACCCAGAGGCUGCAACGCACGAGGCAGUAUCUA